rnacentral:rRNA from 1 species
UACGUAGGGUGCAAGCGUUAAUCGGAAUUACUGGGCGUAAAGCGUGCGCAGGCGGUUUUGUAAGUCUGACGUGAAAGCCCCGGGCUCAACCUGGGAAUUGCGUUGGAGACUGCAAGGCUUGAAUCUGGCAGAGGGGUAGAAUUCCACGUGUAGCAGUGAAAUGCGUAGAGGUGUGGAGGAACACCGAUGGCGAAGGCAGCCCUGGGUCAAGAUUGACGC